UGGUAGUCUACGCCGUAAACGAUGGUCACUAGCUGUCCGAGCUUAAUUGAGGCUUGGUGGUUAAGCGAAAGUGAUAAGUAGACCACCUGGGGAGUACGUUCGCAAGAAUGAAACUCAAAGGAAUUGACGGGGGCCCGCACAAGCGGUGGAGCAUGUGGUUUAAUUCGAUGAUACGCGAGGAACCUUACCAGGGCUUAAAUGUAGUCUGACGUAUCUGGAAACAGAUAUUUCUUCGGACAGAUUACAAGGUGCUGCAUGGUUGUCGUCAGCUCGUGCCGUGAGGUGUCAGGUUAAGUCCUAUAACGAGCGCAACCCCUGUGGUUAGUUGCCAGCGAGUAAUGUCGGGAACUCUAGCCAGACUGCCGGUGCAAACCGCGAGGAAGGUGGGGAUGACGUCAAAUCAUCACGGCCCUUACGUCCUGGGCCACACACGUGCUACAAUGGUAGGGACAGAGAGCAGCCACUUCGCGAGAAGGAGCGAAUCUACAAACCCUAUCACAGUUCGGAUCGCAGUCUGCAACUCGACUGCGUGAAGCUGGAAUCGCUAGUAAUCGCAUAUCAGCCAUGAUGCGGUGAAUACGUUCCCGGGCCUU
rnacentral:rRNA from 1 species